UGCGAGUCAUUGUAGCAAUACAAGGCAGACGGCUCAGUAACGCGUAGUCAAUCUACCCUAUGGACGGGAAUAACCUCGGGAAACUGAGAAUAAUGCCCGACAGAACAUUAUACCUGGAACGGUUUAUGUUUCAAAUGAUUUAUCGCCGUAGGAUGGGACUGCGGCCUAUCAGUUUGUUGGUGAGGUAAUGGCCCACCAAGACUAUUACAGGUACGGGCCCUGAGAGGAGUAGCCCGGAGAUGGGUACUGAGACACGGACCCAGGCCCUAUGGGGCGCAGCAGGCGAGAAAACUUUGCAAUGUGCGAAAGCACGACAAGGUUAAUCCGAGUGGUUUCUGCUAAAGAAACCUUUUGCUAGUCCUAGAAACACUAGUGAAUAAGGGGUGGGCAAGUUCUGGUGUCAGCCGCCGCGGUAAAACCAGCACCUCAAGUGGUCAGGAUGAUUAUUGGGCCUAAAGCAUCCGUAGCUCGUUUUGUAAGUUUUCGGUUAAAUCCAUACGCUUAACGUAUGGGCUGCCGGGAAUACUGCAUAACUAGGAAGUGGGAGAGGUAGACGGUACUCGGUAGGAAGGGGUAAAAUCCUUUGAUCUAUUGAUGACCACCUGUGGCGAAGGCGGUCUACCAGAACACGUUCGACGGUGAGGGAUGAAAGCUGGGGGAGCAAACCGGAUUAGAUACCCGGGUAGUCCCAGCUGUAAACUAUGCAAACUCAGUGAUGCAUUGGCUUGUGGCCAAUGCAGUGCUGCAGGGAAGCCGUUAAGUUUGCCGCCUGGGAAGUACGUACGCAAGUAUGAAACUUAAAGGAAUUGGCGGGGGAGCACCACAAGGGGUGAAGCCUGCGGU
rnacentral:rRNA from 1 species